CCUACGGGAUGCAGCAGUGAGGAAUAUUGGUCAAUGGACGAGAGUCUGAACCAGCCAAGUAGCGUGAAGGAUGACUGCCCUAUGGGUUGUAAACUUCUUUUAUAUGGGAAUAAAAUGUUCCACGUGUGGGAUUUUGUAUGUACCAUAUGAAUAAGGAUCGGCUAACUCCGUGCCAGCAGCCGCGGUAAUACGGAGGAUCCGAGCGUUAUCCGGAUUUAUUGGGUUUAAAGGGAGCGUAGGUGGAUGGUUAAGUCCGUUGUGAAAGUUUGCGGCUCAACCGUAAAAUUGCAGUUGAAACUGGCAGUCUUGAGUACAGUAGAGGUGGGCGGAAUUCGUGGUGUAGCGGUGAAAUGCUUAGAUAUCACGAAGAACUCCGAUUGCGAAGGCAGUUCACUGGACUGCAACUGACACUGAGGCUCGAAAGUGUGGGUAUCAAACAGGAUUAGAUACCCGGGUAGUC
rnacentral:rRNA from 1 species